GCCGAGACUAGAGUCACAUCUCGACACCACUCUUGUCCUGGUGUGCUAGAGUACUCAGAAAGAAUUUGCUGGUCUUGAUUCACUGGUGGAGGUGAUCAGUGCUCCCAUUAGUGCCCAGGUAAGAAAAAAAA
ensembl:snoRNA